ACUGGGGCGUAAGCGCACGCAGGCGGUCUGUCAAGUCGGAUGUGAAAUCCCCGGGCUCAACCUGGGAACUGCAUUCGAAACUGGCAGGCUAGAGUCUUGUAGAGGGGGGUAGAAUUCCAGGUGUAGCGGUGAAAUGCGUAGAGAUCUGGAGGAAUACCGGUGGCGAAGGCGGCCCCCUGGACAAAGACUGACGCUCAGGUGCGAAAGCGUGGGGAGCAAACAGGAUUAGAUACCCUGGUAGUCCACGCCGUAAACGAUGUCGACUUGGAGGUUGUGCCCUUGAGGCGUGGCUUCCGGAGCUAACGCGUUAAGUCGACCGCCUGGGGAGUACGGCCGCAAGGUUAAAACUCAAAUGAAUUGACGGGGGCCCGCACAAGCGGUGGAGCAUGUGGUUUAAUUCGAUGCAACGCGAAGAACCUUACCUACUCUUGACAUCCAGAGAACUUUCCAGAGAUGCAUUGGUGCCUUCGGGAACUCUGAGACAGGUGCUGCAUGGCUGUCGUCAGCUCGUGUUGUGAAAUGUUGGGUUAAGUCCCGCAACGAGCGCAACCCUUAUCCUUUGUUGCCAGCGGUUAGGCCGGGAACUCAAAGGAGACUGCCAGUGAUAAACUGGAGGAAGGUGGGGAUGAC
rnacentral:rRNA from 1 species